rnacentral:lncRNA from 1 species
ACGGGGUGGAGAGGACCACACUCAACGAAAAAAAUAGUGGAGAGGACCACACUCAAAUAGAAGAGAAGAACAUAUUAAAAUGGGGUGCAGGGGUUUGUAAUGGAUGAAAUGGGGUGCAAGGUAAAGUUUCGUAAUAUAUAUUCAAAACAAAUUUAACGUUUUCAACAUUGUGCUCGGAAUUCCUAAAAAGAAAUUAAUACAUAAUUACCUUAUUAGUUAAAGGGCAUUUCUGGAAUUUAGAGGUGCAAGAUGAAAGAGUUGGAGGUACAGGAUGAAACACCCAUCAUAGUCUAACCAAAGGUUUGCCUAUCCUCUGUCCAUUACAAUUUCAAUUGUCUAAUAGUCCUAUCAGUUCGGUUUUAAACA